ensembl:lncRNA
CAGUGAUUGAGCACCUGGUGGGAAGGCAGAGCCAACCCAGGGGAGCUCAGGUGCAUUGCAUGCACCUGAGUGACCAUAAGGGGUAGAGCAAGGAUCCACCUCUUCCCAGACCUCGUUUAAGAGUUGGCAGUGGAGGCAAAUGAAUGUUACUGGGAAUCCCUGCCUACCUGAGGUCUUCAAGGGUAUGAGGUGCAGCUGUCCAUGUGCUGGUAGUGUAAACAGCUCUGCAGACAUCAAGGUCAAUGAAGAAGUAGGAAGAAUGGAGAUGAUCCUGGCACUGGAGCAGUUUCUUCUGCAGCAGGUGGAUGACACGACAUGGGAGAGGACACAACAUGGAGGACUGCAGCUCGUGGAGAAGAAUUACUUUGAAUCAAGGGAUGAAUGUGAGGAGAGAGGAGUGGUAAAGAGAUGAACUGACCAUGACCAUCAUUCUCCUGCAUCGUGGCGAGGGAGGCAGUGGAGUCAGGAGUGUAGCAGUGAAAUUAAGCUAGAAAAGGAUUAUGGGGAGAAGUGGCUUAAAAGUGUUAAUUAUAUUGAGAAACAUAGAUAAUAGUUAUCUAUUUUACAUUGAUGGCUCUGAAAGCAAUGCCUCCUACUUAUUUCCAUGGGAACUACAACAGAUACAAAGAGAACAAUAAUCUGAUAGAGGAAGUUCUCAAGUACAAAACACUAUUUUUCAACAGUAGCCAUCAACAGCUCUGCAUUUUUGCUAGAGAUUAACAGGAGCCUGCAUGUCAUGCUCAUAAAAGGUUUGCACCAGUGGAGGUGACCUGCUGUUACACAGCUGCAAUGAUGGUGUCACUGUUAGGAAAAUGUUGCCCAUGCUGUUCAUCUUUCAUUAGUCCAAACAGUUAGAAAUCAGAAGGUGUCAAAUUUAGACCAUAUGGUGGGUGCAGUAGGAGAGGUCAUCCAAGACUGGUGAUGUGCUUCACGGUCUUCAAUCCAGCAUGGGACCUUGCAUUAGCAUGUUUCAAAAUAAAGGUUGUUGUCUUCUCUGGACUUACUCUGGAGGUUUGAGCCUUCACCUUAGUCAGCAUCAUGAUGUAGUGGUCAGAACUGAUGCUUUGUCUGGGUUCCAGGAAAUCCAGAAGGAUCACUCCUUCACUAUCACAAACAAUCAUGCACAUAACUUUACUCACUUGAGGCUGCAUCUUGAACUCUUUCUCUUAUGGGAAGCUCAAAUAUCACUGCUCUAUGAAUUGCUGUUUUAACACCAGCUCAUAACAAUAAUGCAUCUUGUCAUGAGUAAUGAUCCAGGAAGCAUUGUUACCUUCAGCCUCAUACUGACAAACUUUUGUGCCAUGGUCUUUCUGUUUCUCUGUGAGCAUUCAUGGAACUCACCUGGUACAAUUUUUUUUGCUAUUCUAAUGUUGCCACCAUUGUUUCUAACUCAUAGAAACCCAUAUUCUGAUCUGUACAUAGUUCUCUGGUUGUAAUCUGCCAAUUUCAGCAAAUGAGCUGAUUGAGAUGUUCUUCAUCUUGUCCUGAGGCAGCUGAAGCAUAUACCUCAGUUUAAAAAAAAAAAAAAAAAAAAAAAGGCAACUAUUAAUCAUUUCCUAUCAACUAAAAGAGUCAUUGUGCUUCACUUUUUCACCAGUCAUAAAGUUUAAGAUUCUAUUUGAGGG